GGCCCCAUGGUCAAGCGGUCAAGACGCGACCCUCUCACGGUCGAAUCAGGGGUUCGAUUCCCCUUGGGGUCA
rnacentral:tRNA from 1 species